rnacentral:rRNA from 1 species
AGAGUUUGAUCAUGGCUCAGAACGUACGCUGGCGGCACGCCUAACACAUGCAAGUCAAACGCAGUAGCAAUACUGAGUGGCAGACGGGUGAGUAACAUGUGGGAAUCUGCCUUGUGGUUCAGGACAACAUUGGGAAACCGAUGCUAAUACUGGAUAAGCCCUUACGGGGAAAGUUUUAAUGCCAUAAGAUGAGCCCGCAUUUGAUUAGUUAGUUGGUGAGGUAAUGGCUCACCAAGACAAUGAUCAAUAGCUGAUCUGAGAGGAUGAUCAGCCACACUGGGACUGAGACACGGCCCAGACUCCUACGGGAGGCAGCAGUGGGGAAUCUUGCACAAUGGAGGAAACUCUGAUGCAGCGAUGCCGCGUGAGUGAAGAAGGCCUUUGGGUUGUAAAGCUCUUUUGUAGGGGAAGAUAAUGACUGUACCCUAAGAAUAAGGUCCGGCUAACUUCGUGCCAGCAGCCGCGGUAAUACGAAGGGACCUAGCGUAGUUCGGAAUUACUGGGCGUAAAGCGCGCGUAGGCCGUUGAGUUAGUUAAUUGUGAAAUCCCAAAGCUUAACUUUGGAACUGCAAUUAAAACUGCUCGACUAGAGUUUGAUAGAGGAAAGCGGAAUACAUAGUGUAGAGGUGAAAUUCGUAGAUAUUAUGUAGAACACCAGUUGCGAAGGCGGCUUUCUGGAUCAACACUGACGCUGAGGCGCGAAAGUAUGGGUAGCAAAGAGGAUUAGAUACCCUCGUAGUCCAUACCAUAAACGAUGAUUGCUAGAUGUUGGAAAUUUAUUUUCAGUAUCGCAGCUAACGCAUUAAGCAAUCCGCCUGGGGAGUACGACCGCAAGGUUAAAACUCAAAUGAAUUGACGGGGACCCGCACAAGCGGUGGAGCAUGUGGUUUAAUUCGAAGAUACGCGCAGAACCUUACCAACCCUUGACAUGUCUGUCGCGAGUUUAGGAAACUAGACUUUUCGGUUCGGCCGGACAGAACACAGGUGCUGCAUGGCUGUCGUCAGCUCGUGUCGUGAGAUGUUGGGUUAAGUCCCGCAACGAGCGCAACCCUUGUCUUUAGUUGCUACGCAAGAGCACUCUAAAGAGACUGCCGGUGACAAACCGGAGGAAGGUGGGGAUGACGUCAAGUCCUCAUGGCCCUUAUGGGUAGGGCUUCACACGUCAUACAAUGGUGCAUACAGAGGGUUGCCAACCCGCGAGGGGGAGCUAAUCUCAGAAAAUGCAUCGUAGUCCGGAUCGUAGUCUGCAACUCGACUACGUGAAGCUGGAAUCGCUAGUAAUCGCGGAUCAGAAUGUCGCGGUGAAUACGUUCCCGGGUCUUGUACACACCGCCCGUCACACCAUGGGAGUGGGUUUUGCCAGAAGCCGUUAGCCUAACCGCAAGGAGGGCGACGACCACGGCAGGGUUCAUGACUGGGGUGAAGUCGUAACAAGGUAGCCGUAUCGGAAGGUGCGGCUGGAUCACCUCCUU